CCCAGAGCCAUUCCUUGGGGGGUCUGGGGAACCUGCGGGGCUCUCCCUGCCUAUCCUCCCCCACUGUACUUCCUGGUUUCAGAUGAGCCUAUUAGGAGAAGGCACAGACAGGCGGAGGACUCCGCUUUGCUCCUUGCCAGCUAUAUGACCUUGAACAAGCCAUUUACUUGUUUCAGGGAUGUGACCACUGCUCUCCUCUCCCCCCCCCCCCCCCGCCCCAUCAAGUCCCUGAGAUCACAGUUAAGUAUGUGUGUUAGCUUUGGGGAGAACCUAGAAUUUCUUAUCAUUGGCUCCGCUGACAAUUGGGCAGGAUUAUUCCUCAUGGUGGGGCCAUCCUGUGUAUCGUAGGGUACUAAACAGCAUCCCUGGCCUCAACCCACUAGAUGCCAAUGAAACCCCCCAGUUUUGCCGAUCAACACUGUUUCCAGACAUGAAGAAAUGUCCCCUGGGGGGAGGGUUGCCAGACAAAAAUGCAGGUUUCCCAGUUAGAUUUGAAUUUCAGAGAAGCGACUCACAACUUUUUGGUAGAAUUCUGCCCUAAAGAUUGCAUUUUUACUUGCUAAAUCCAGAAACCCUGCGAAACCACCUCAGUUGAGAGCCGCUGCCCUGUGAGUGCCUGAUACUUGGGUAGGAGGCUAAGAUACCAGAUGGAGAAGAGGCAGCAGGAACGCACUGGCCCAGCCUGGCCGGGGAGGGGUGCUGUCUGGGGGCAGGCCCGGCAAUGAUGAGUGAGACUUCUGGUGACAUCAAACCUUCUCCUUCGGAAGCUGGUUCAGUGAGCUGUCAAUCAGUCACUAACCCUGCCCUGCCCUGCGAGACACUGGAGUCAAGCAAGGAGCAGCCACUGCACCCUGUUGCCCAGUCACUGGGUUGAUGAGUGAGACAACCCUGAAGGUCUAUUGAGUUCCUGGAUCCAGCCUGACCUGAAGCUAGCUCCCAAUAUGCGUCUCAAGGAAGAAAAACAUGGGGGCGAUUCUGGCGCAACAUGAUGUCACAAGAUAAAGGACAGGACCUCAUGGCCGCUGGAAAACUCAACAGUAAAGAGAAUGCCAGGACCCUAAAUAAACCCCUACUAACCCUAAGUGAGUCAGAGAAAGUCUCCACCGAUGACUCCCCAGGACCGUGCGGCCACCAACAGAGCCAGCCUGCUGGCCAAAAGAAGGUAGAAAGCGCUUUCAGGCCUGCCCAGUGUCUCCUGGCGGAUAAGUGUGGCCCUUACUCCCCCAGAUGCCAUGAGGCCACGUGGGGGGUGACGGCCCCGAGCUCCUCGCUGUCUGGCUCCCCGCAGAAAAACCCCAACUCCCAAGAAACGCCCGGGCCGGAAGCGGAAGCGCGGGUGCGUGCGUGCUGCAUUCUGGGAAGUGUAGUCCACAGAGGCCGGAAGAGUCCGUGAGAGCCGUGCAUUUGGGGGAAGGUAGUCCUCUAGUGGUCUGAGAGCCGGAGGCGUGAGCUGGAGUGGUUCACCUAAACCCCACGCCGUGGCGGGGGUUAACAGUUUGGGGACUUAGAGUGAAUACGUAGAAUUUGGUUUUGUCUCUCCCAACCACCAACACCCACGGAAGCGGAGAAUAGGACCUAUCCACGCUUCAGUGAUGGCAAGCAGGCCUGAGUUAUUCCGCCCUCGAACGAGUAAAUCAGCUGCGUAACCUCCCGGAACCUUUGUUUCCGUAUCUGUAAAACGGGCAGAUUAAUCAUUCUCACUUGGCAGCUUUGAUAACUCAAUCAAGUAACUAGCAAGGUGCUUAACACACCUUCCUUGCUUGACAAACCCCUCUUCCCUUUGAAGCUGAGCGUGCAGAGCAAAUGGAUGUGUUUUGUAACCAGGAGCAAAAAUUGUGCUUCAGCGGAGCACUUGGGACGUUUUCUUUGCAAAGUAGGAGUUCCUGCAAAUUCCAGCCAAAACUCAUAGGGGGAAAUAUAAGGAAAUCUUGUCACCCAGAGACUCAGCAAGGACGUGUGACCUUACUAGCCAACACACAGUAAGAUUGUUGAAACUUUCAAAGUAAACAGUAGGCAGCAAAAAGAACGAGAAAGCUCCAUAUGCACUGAUGGGGGAAAAGCUUCAAGAAAUGGGAUCUUGCAAAGCGUACUCUUUGGCUCUUGGUGGACGUGGACGGUGUGAAGGUGGAGGUACUUACAAUGUUUGAAGAGGGGGGGAGUGGGGAGCAGAGAUGGACUGCCAAGGUCUGGAGAGGGUGAGGUGGCCAGGGGACACCCUAAAAGGAAAGGUUCCGGAGGCACAAGGUUUAAGGAGGCCCUCACUCCAGACGUCCCGCUCGGGUCCCAGCCCUGUUGACUGCUUCUUGAUGACAGAACAGAAAAUCUGUAACAGCCCUUGCACUGGUGGGCUAGUCGUCACUGGUGGGUGACGGAUGUUUCUUCAGAGCUAGACUCGAGAUGGUGUUGGCAGACCGAGGCCACCACGGGGGCCAAGGCAGCAGAGUCAGGGCUCGGCUCCCCAGGCAGUGCCCCAGACCCCUCGUGCUGUGCUGUGUUGCGUGUUGAAGGGUUAGAUGACGCCAUGGAGGGCAGACGUCUGGACAGAUGGGACUCAACCGUUCUUGUCCUUGAGUUCUUUCUGAUUCUCUCUCCGUGUGUGGAGCUGCGUGGCUAAGGGUUUUCUCUGCACCUACCCUGGUGCCCAGCCUCCACCUGCUACCGGCCGCAGGUCUGGGCUCCUAGAGAAGGAGGUCCCCCGAGGGCCCUGGGGCCUCAGAGAUUGCCUUGACCUCACAGAAGCUGCGGCUUCUCAAUCUUUCCUGCACCCGGGGCACUGCAUUUUGGCAUUCCGCAGCUCACGCCUCUUGAGUUCAUACCACAAACUUUAGAGGUAAGGACUGUGUUAUCCCCAUGCUGCAGAUGAGGAAACCAGGGCCCAGAGAGGGGUAGCAACCUGUCCCUGACCACAGAGCUAAAAAGCAGCAGAGUAGGGAUUUGAACUCCCAACUCCAGAGGCACGUUCUUCACCAUGAUGCCCUGCUCCUCCAUUUUCAAGGACCACGAGCCUGCUGAGUGCUGGCCGCUAGGUUGGGGGUUCCCACUGUCCCCUGGACCUCGGGGGCCCCCAAGGCUGGAGGCCCGGAGGCCCUCUGAAUUCUAGAGUGUUUUCAGGACAUCCCUGGAGGGGUUAAAGCAGGUUGCGGUCUUAACUUCCCGGGGUGGGAGGUUCCCAGAAGCCCAGGGCAAGCUCGGCCCCUUUUUCCUGAGGGGAGGGGGUGGUGUGAGUUGGGACACGUCCUCUUUUAAGGUUCUUUCUUGCUGCUUCUGACCACUUCCUCUUUUCCCUGGGGCGGAGGCAGGCUGUGGCUGCACUAAUGGCAGGCAUCCCAGCAGUGGCCCAGUGGCCGAGGAGGCCUCUCAGUCUCUUCUGGAAGGGCUUGCUUGGCUGGGCGGUGGGCACUUCUCUGCCUGGGCUUCCAUCCCCUCCCCGCUGCCGCCAAGACCCUCCCCUGAGUCCCACCCAGAGAGCAGAGGGUGGGGGGCUCCCUGAGCUCUCCCUCAGCCAGACGGCUGCACACCCUCCAUUCAGGCUCCACUUGGGCUGAAUCUGCUUCCAGCAAUUUCCAUGGAGGACGUGGCCCAAGUUCAGGAACCCUGCCUGGACAGCCACACCCCUCAGGAUGCUCAGGGAGGUGAGGACCCCAGUUCUGGGUAGAAGGCCCAGCCUAGCACCUCAACCAUGAGUGCCCCAUGUGGGCAGGGGAGCUGUGGCCUGGGAAGAAGAUGGGCAUUGAGAAAUGUGGGUUCCAGGCCUGGCUCUGCCGCUUGUCGGCUGCUGUGCUUACCAGGUUGCUUUUCUUCUUUGACCUCAGUUUCCUCAUCCAUGCACUGGACAUAAAUAACACUUCAAAAGGUUGAAGAAACAAAUGCAGUGCUACAUGUAUCGUGCUAAGCAGAGAGCCUGGUACACGGCCAGGAUUUAGUGUCUUGCGUGUUACUGGGCAGAAACUGCAGCUGCCCUGAGCCAUCCAGGAUGCACUCCCCCCUCCCCCCAGCCCCUGCAGAGGAAGGCCGGUCACAGGUCACAGCUCCCCAACCCUGUUUCCUGCCUCCACCCUGUCUCCACUCCUUUCUGCCCCAGUAGCCCCCAGCUUCCCACUUGUAGCAGGUACAGCCCUCAAGUUCAGGUGGACAGGACCAUCACCUUUCCUCUGUAUCCUGUAGCCUCCCCACCCCAUCUAGCCAGGUUGGUAAAACAUCGACGUCAGUCAUCGUUGGGAUGUGCCCAGCCGAGUGUCGUGCCAAAGCCUUGGGUCAUCGUUUCUUUUUAUUGUGGUGAAAUACACAGAACAUGAAUUGAGCCACCUGUAACGAUUUUUAAGGGUAUGGUUCCAUGGCAUGAAGUAUAUUCACACUGCUCUAGAAACGUCGCCACCACCCAUCUCCAGAACUUUCUCGUCUUCCCAAACUGAAACCGUGUCCCCGGUAAACCAUGGCUCCCCAUGCCUGCCCCCAGCUGCUGCAACCCUUGUUCCACUUUCUGUCUCUAGAAUCAGACUGCCCUCCCUGCCUCUUAUAAGUGGAAUCAUGCAGUAAUUGUCUCUGUGUGACUGGUUUGUCUUCGAUUAGCACGGCGUCCUCAAGGUUCACCCGUGUGGGGGCACGGGGCAGAAUCUCCAUCCUUUUUAUUUAUGUUUGAAUAAUAUUCCAGCCUAUGUCUAGACCCCAUUUUGCUUGUCCACGUAUCCAUCGGUGGACACUUGGGUUGCUUCCGCGUCCUGGCUGCUGUGAAUAAUGUUGCUCUGCACGGGGGUGUGCAAAUACCUGUUUGAGUCCCUGCUUUCGGUUCUUGGGGGCGCAUACCUAGAAGUGGAAUUUCUAGAUCAUAUGGUAAUUAUGUUUGAUUAUUUUUUUUUUUUGAGGAAAUGCCCAAUGCCCCAAGGCACUGGGGAGCCCCUCUGGCCAUACUGUGUACAGGGAGAUAGGAAAUGAGGAGCAAGACAUCAUAGGCUCAAAUCCUGGUCCUGCCACUUCCCAGUGCUGUGACCUUGGGCGACUCACUUCAUUGUCUCAGCUGUGAUGAGGAAUGAGAGCAGCGCCUCCUGGGGCUGUGGUGGUGUUGAGAGCACAUACUUUGGAUGGUGCCUGGCGCACAGGGAGCCCUAGUGAUGUUAGCUGCGCCUCGUGGUGCAUCUGGACUCCUCCAGAGAUCUGAUCCUGCAACCUCACCGCUUCUGUGGUCCCACGCCAGCCUGGCCCCUCCAUGGAACAUGCCUUUGGAGCCGGCCCUGCUUCUUCCCCAGGACUCCAACUUCUUUCCCCCUUUUGCAGGUCCCUGGGAAUCUCUCCUCAUUGAGGGAGUUUCUCUUUCCCUGUCCGUCUGAGGCUUAUGCUCUUGAAAACAAAAGCCAGAAAGCAAUGCCUCAGGCUAACCCUGCGAGAGCCUGAGCCAGGACCAGAGGGGAAACCAAGGACACUGACCAACAGGUCAGCAUGGGCACAGGCGAAGAGGACCCCUUUCUUCUUUCCUUUGACCUUGGUCAUGCCAUUCUCGAUGGCUGGGUCCGGUCUAGGCCCCGUGUUUUGGGAAGGAUGAGGAGAGCUGGGAGGGUCACUGAGGACCGCCCACAGGCAUGAUUACAGGGACGGGGACGAGGCACUCUGGACUGAGAUGAAAGGAGCGGUGGUUUGGCACUUUCAACUCUAGGGGAGUCAGCCGGAGGGUUCCGGUCAGUGAGGGGUGGCUGUGGAGAUGAGAUUACCCCCCUCGCUGGGCCAGCAGCUAGGGCUCCCGGGCUGAGGCCGGCACAGUCCCACCUCUGGUUGAGGCCAAGCUGGUGUGCGGCUGUGUCCGGCCAGCUUGCCUGGUCUGCAUCCCCAGCCACCCCAACCCCGACCCUUGCUCCCGGGAAACUACUUCUGCUGACCGCGGAUGAUUCCUGGAGGAAGGUCAAGGCAAGACCUGGCAGGCUGAGGGCUUUGGUCCUGGGCGAUCACACCUGGAGGUUGGCCCAGCUGUGUCACCUCCACCUGUGACAAGAGGGGACAGAGAAACCUCCAGGAAGCCCCCCACACCUGGGACAUUCUCUUGCUGUCCCAUCACCUUUCCUUUCCUAUUCUGUCUUCUCUGUUCCUUUCACCUCGUACCAACUGGUGCGUGACUUGGAAAUUCACAAAGCAGUGCACUUUUCACCAUUUAUCAACACCCAGAACCUGGUGAGGAGCCAGCACUCAGUUUCUCUCAAGUGGGCUUUAGUGAAGGGCUUUUUUCCGUGGCCCUCUGGCAGAGCUCACAAUGGGGACCCCUACGACAUGCUCCCUAGCAUUGUCAAAACCAGUCCUGUCUUCACUAUUUGCAGACAUCCCCAAAGGGGCGCUGAUAUCUGUUCUGGGGCAUUAAAUAAAAUAUGCUGUGAAGGUUAAGUAGGAUAACAUGUGGAAAAUUCCUGGCACAUUAUGGUUAUCAGGAAAAAUAGUUAGCAUUUUUUAUUUUUAAAAAUUAUUAUUAUAUUAAAAGGGAGGACAAUAUUUAUUGAACACCUACUAUGUCCCGGAUACUGAAAUGUUGGAAUCCUGCGCUGGGAGUCAAGCUGACUUUCCCGGCCUACGUCAGAAGCAGUGACCCCCACAAAGGUCACCAUCCCAGCAACAAUACAAAGUGAGGGAAGUAUAGGGAGGGGAAGGACCAGCCGUGUGUCCUUAGGCAAACUGCCUCACCUCUCUGAGCCUAUUUCCUGACCUGUAAAGAGAGGCUGGAUAUCCUCCCUUCCCCUUCUGCUGGAGUCAGGGGUCAGAGGAGGUAAAGCCUGUGCCAGUCUUGGCAACCAGGAAAGUGCUGCCCAGCGGAGCAGACUGGCAGCUCUCAGUGGGAGACAAGCCCAUACCUACACCUUUAACUGAAUUCCCUGCUCUCAGCUCCUGAAAGCCAUCUCUGCAGGCUUGGGGAACACCCCUCAGGGACACUAGAACUGUGCUCUUCUCCAGGGCCCAUUAGGAAAAGAAUGUUCUACAAGUCCACCCAAAGGUGGUCAUUUCUCUGGUGACCCCCUUGUGGCCAUGCCACACUUUCAUCUGUCCCAUGCCCUGACUGCAGGCCAGUUGAUGUGGUGUGUUUCCAGGGAGACUGGGGAAGGUGACAGCAUUUCUGGGAGGAAAGAUGGGCUUGUCCAGGGGCACAGUGGGAUUUCCGAGGUUGGUGCUGAAGCUGAGUGGUAGAGCCGUGGUUAUAAAGAGCAGGUUUGCCAAGCCGUGGAGCAGUCGGGGAGGCUGGGUGGAUGGGCAGAGUUUCCCCUGGAGGCCAACUGGCUGACUUGCCAUUGUCCCUGACGCCUUCCAGACAAGGCUUAAUGGAAUGGUAGGAAUUUGCUGCUGGUCUGUAUUGUUAUUGCCAAUGUCCAUGGGGUACUUAUUCUGUGCUACUGAGAAGGUUACCUCCUGUAAUCCCCAAACAAAUUUAUAGCGCGGCUGCCACUAUUAUCCCCAUUUUACAGGUGAAGAGGCUGUGGUACAGAGAGGUUCAGUAUUUUGCUCAAGGUCACACAGUGAAGGAGCCAAGCCUGGAGUCCAGCCCAGGUCAUCUGAAGCCAGAGCCCGUGCAGAUGGCCAUGCCAUGCACCGUCACGGGCCAGGGAAGGACAAGCAGAGAGCUGAGUAGGGGAAAGAAGGAAGGUAAUCCCUAGGUCCCAGGUCCCACGUGAACCUUUCACUGAGAUUGGUGCUGAAUAGUGACAGACGUCACUAGAAGGGUGUCACUGGCUCUAUUUUAGCGAUGAAGAAUGGAAACACAGAGGGGUUGAGUUGCCCAAGCAAGGGGACUACACUUUGAACCAGAUGUGUCUACACUGCGAGCAUUGCUGUUUCGGUGACCCCACCACCUUAUCUUGUUUCUUUGGCAGUUUGUUCCAAGUCUGAUCUGUCUUGGGAACCUUGGGACCUGGAGCCCAGGCCUGGAACAGACAUACCAGACCUCUAUACAUGUUUUCUGAAAUAAUGUAAGAGAUCCCAGUUGUUUCACUUGCUGCUACUUUGGGCGAGGGAGAGGAAGUGUGGUCGGAGGUGUAGUGACCUCGCAUCUUUUGUGAGUGGAUGUUUGCUGAGCCUGAACCCUGCUGAGAUGAAGAGUUUGGAAAAGAGAAUCAUGUUGGAGCAGGUGUAUCUCCUUUACUUUGGGGGAGUUAAAGGAAAAGGAAAGCUCUAGGAAAGACCCAAAUUGAAAAUUUCUCCCUACCUCCCUUCCUUCCAUCUAUCCAUCCAUCUAUCCAUCCACCCACAUAUCCAUCCACUCAUCCAUCCAUCCAUCCACCCAUCCAUUCACCCCCCCACCCA